rnacentral:lncRNA from 1 species
GAGCAUUUCUAAAUGACUUGAAGCUCUGUCACGGCAUAAUCUCUUAUAAAUAAAUGUCAGUGUAGUCACUGAAUGCAGACUGGAUUUUUGCCUGACUACGGUGCUCAGCCUUCUAGACAAUAGUUAUGCUAAGGGAUUAUCUUUUAACAUUGUGCAGUUAUCUCCUUUGUUUGUUUUCUUUUUUCAUUAUUCACAUAAGCCAAGGGAAAUGAAAAGCAUCUUAUUUCAGGCAAAAAGGCCUGUGAAUGAUUAACUCUGGUUCCAUGCGUUGGGACUUUGCAUAGCAACCCCGUGGCUUGCAACGACAAAAAAGCUCAAGGCAGGAACAGCAGCCCAGGGACCUGAGACCAGCGUUCUCAAAUGAAGAUCUGCUGUUAGAGGAGAAUUCUUCUGUCCUAGCUGUGUCUCUGUGAUCUGUGGAUGAGGGUGGGAAAGCACCACUCAGUCAAUUGGGGUGUACAAAAUGGAGUUUGAGAAGGUCUCACAUCCAGGUUGUUUUGAAGCAAAGUCCAAGCAUUGUAUCACUUCAUCUGCAAAUAUUUCAAUAAGUACCCAAAAGUGGUUGGACUGAGUCCCAUGAAGCCAGAUCACUUCUGACUGCAAGGAGCUUGGAAAAGCAAGUAUCUGGAUCUUUUACCAGCUAAAUUUGGAGAAUUAUUGAUCAAAUUUGGAUCUCUGUGUGCUGUCCUCCAAUUUAAUACUUUCUGUGUUGCUGUUUUAUUUUCUUUCUUCUGGAACCUGGCAAAGUGCGUCAAGCGAUGAGGCUUCCUCUUUGAAGAUCACAGGUGAGAAGAUUAGGUGCUUUCUCAGAAGCCCAGCAACCUGAUGGGAGUGUGGAGUGAGCAAGACCCAAAUCGGAGCUUCAUCCCUGCAUGGUUCAUUUUGCUUAUUUGGCAAACUUGCCCUGCAGAAUCUACUCAAGCUUCCUCAGUUUCUCAAAUCAUUCUUGGGCAACAAAUGAACAAGAAAGAGGACGUCUUAUUAUCUGGUGUCUGGCUUGCUGAUUUAAUAACCUAGGAGACAGUGUUUGAAGAACACAAACUCUAAAGUCCUUCACUUAAAAAAAAAAAAAAACUUUCCCAAAUUGCUUACCAUUUGGAAAAAUUGCCUUACCUUCUUCAGUCAUCUCUGAUGUUGUCAUCCUCAGAGUAAGAAGUACGCAUUCAUAAGGAACCAUAACGUCCUUCAGGAAAUCCAGUACACCCUACAAUUUUACCUAAAACUUUGAUGUUGUUUUUUCUGAGCAUUUUACCUUCUAGGGAAAUGGAUCUCAUGCUGUUUAUCAGUUUCUGAAAGUUGUUAUUAAUCUCCCCUCAUCCCAAAAUUGAAGAACUUUGCUUAAAUCUUAGAAUCAGAACUUUGGCUCCAGUAAUAAAGACUUUUCAAUAUCUUUAUCUGCCAUUGAGUCUUACCUAACGAAAUAAAGCCUCCAAAGUGGGAAUUUGAAA